rnacentral:rRNA from 1 species
UACGGAGGGUGCAAGCGUUAAUCGGAAUUACUGGGCGUAAAGCGUGCGCAGGCGGUUUUGUAAGUCUGUUGUGAAAUCCCCGGGCUUAACCUGGGAAUGGCAAUGGAGACUGCAAGGCUAGAGUUUGGCAGAGGGGGGUAGAAUUCCACGUGUAGCAGUGAAAUGCGUAGAGAUGUGGAGGAACACCGAUGGCGAAGGCAGCCCCCUGGGUCAAGACUGACGCUCAUGCACGAAAGCGUGGGGAGCAAACAGG